rnacentral:lncRNA from 1 species
UGUAUUUGUGAAAACUGGAAGAGUUUUUAAUUUGACAGUUGAGCUGCAGUUCCUGCUAAGUCUUAAUGUAUCAAACAGAAUUAGAGAAAUUGUAUUUAGUUCUUUAUACUGUGAUCAUUUAUGCAGAAUCUGUGGGAGUUAGAUUUAGGUCAAUUAAAAACACAAUGUUCUAAGGGAAAAUAAAGAAGAUAAAUAAUCUAAUUUAGAGGGUUAUUGUUCAAACCAAAUUGCUUUGCAAGUGAUAAUAGUUAACCUGUGAUUGGGGCAUUUCAAUUCUCUGCCUCAAAGGCAGAUUUUAAUAAGAAAAUAAUAAUCCCACAGGUUUUAUACCAGCAGGAUAGGAAAUUGCUAUGUGUUAUAUUAGGAAAUGAAAUAUGCCUUUCCAAUGGUUAUCACCCUAAAACACACUUUAAAAAUUGAUUAAGCAAAACCUGACAGAAGUUGUUUACUCUUACUUUUAUUUUCUUAACUUGAUGUUUUUGCUAGAAUACAUAUAUGUUAGCUAAUCUGUGG